UACGGGGGAUGCAAGCGUUAUCCGGAAUCACUGGGCGUAAAGCGUUUGUAGGUGGUUUUAUAAGUCUGCUGUUAAAUAUUAGGGCUCAACCCUAAACAAGCUGUAGAAACUAUUAAACUAGAGUAUGGUAUGGGCAAAGGGAAUUCCCAGUGUAGCGGUGAAAUGCGUAGAUAUUGGGAAGAACACCAGAAGCGAAGGCGCUUUGCUUGGCCAUUGCUGACACUCAGAAACGAAAGCUAGGGGAGCGAAUGGG
rnacentral:rRNA from 1 species